CUCCUGCCACCGCUGCUGCUGAAUGGAUUACCUACAAUUCCACCUCUCCCAGAUGCUUUUCAGCACACACUACUAACGUCCACUCCUCUGUGUGUGAGGAGCCCUGCCUUCUCAUGAUUCCAUGACCACCUCGUGGACACUGCUCGCGGAUCAUGUCAGUGAUUUGAACCCCGCUUUGACUUCACAUCCCCGCUGCUGCUGCUGGCUGGACGCACGGCUCUUCCUCCGGGGAGGUUUUCCUGCAACAAUUUGUUUUAUGAGGGGCGAAAUCAUGGUGCCUGUACCGCAUCGGCUCCAAAUGGCACCGUGAGAACUUUCCUCCCUCCCCCCUUUUCCCCCAUUCUUUUUUAUUUUAGAUGUGUGUCAUUGGGAACGUGCUUCUUUGGGAAAUUAGCCACCGUGUCCCCUUUCAAUUAUGUUCACUUUUGCUGCCUUCUGCUACAUGCUGUCUCUGGUCCUCUGUGUGUCCCUGAUCUUCUUUGCUAUAUGGCACAUAACAGCCUUUGAUGAGCUCCAGGCCGACUUCAAGGUGCCGAUCGAUCAGGGCAAUCCACUCCAUGCGAGGGAGAGACUGCGGAACAUUGAGAGGAUCUGCAACUUGCUGAGGAAGUUGGUGCUACCAGAGUACUCCAUCCAUGGACUCUUCUGCAUCAUGUUCCUGUGUGCCCAGGAGUGGCUGACCGUGGGCCUCAACAUCCCCCUCCUCUUCUACAACACAUGGAGGUACUUCCAUUCCCCAACGGACACUAAGGAGCUGCUCUACGACCCAGCGUCCGUCAUGAACGGAGACACGCUCAAGUUCUGCCUAAAGGAGGCGUGGUGCAAGCUGUCCUUCUUCGUCCUGUCCUUCUUCUACUAUCUUUACUGUGUGUGGAACCUGGAUAUAUCCCUCUAAUAGAACUUUUCAAUGGAAACACUUAAAGCUUAUGCUGCGCUAGAGAACCCUGGCGACAGCAGCAGCAGCAGCGAGUAUGAUCUACUCCUUGGUUACCUCAACAUAACAACUGAUUUAUCAGCAACUGGAGAGAAGGAAAAACGCCUCUGGAAAUACAGACCACCACUGUUUCGGUCUAGAAUUGAAAGACAGGAAAUAGAAGAAAUAAAAAUGUUGGGUUUUUUUUGCUGCAAAGCCAAACAAUGAGCUCAACAGGGGCUAAUAUUUUUUUACCUGCUCUGUCCCCUUAAGAAGGAAGGUUUCUUGCUUGUCUGUAAAUAAAAACUGAAGUCUUGUUUACAGUUAGACCGGUCAUAGCUAGACCCAAGUAAAUCACUGCCUGGCCAACAUUUGAACCAAACACACACACACACACACACACACACACAUAUAUCCACAGCCUCCUCUGAAGUGGUACCGUACAUACUGUAAAGUUGCAGCGCUGGUAGCCCCAGAGGAUAAAGAGCACAGUAGCGUUUGCACAGUUUGUCUCAGGCACAGCAUGGUGAAGCACUGUCCGGCCCAGCACGGCUCACCGACCCUCAGUCAUCCUUUCUCGAUGCCUCGCCAACCGUAGCUUCACUGGUGAGUCAGACACGAGGGAUACAUGGACGACUGCAUGGACAGAUAACACUGUACAUAAAGGAGAACGCUUUGGUUGGAAACACCCGAGGAGACGAUAUUUUCCACUGAAAGGCACACACUGUCCAUGGCCUGUGGGAUUUUCUUUCUAACAUUACGUGAAUGGCUUUUGUGACGUGUGCAUUUUGGUGUAUUCUUUAACAAAAGGCAUUUCUAAUUGAAGUACAGCAAAAGGUAUCCUAUACAGCAAAUGCCUUCUUAGUGUCGUCCUAGUGUUGUUCUAUUGUGGGAAAACUUUUCUCAAACUUAAAAGCUAAAACCUGUCCAAUUUUUUGAUAGUAGAGGAGCACAUAUUCUUUGCACAAAUAGAGUCUUGCACAAUAUCUGCAAUAUUUGGCUAUAUUAGAGAUAAAUUAUGAUAGUCUAGCCACACAGGUGAAGGUCUUCCAAUAUGUAAAGAACUAUCCAGCCCAGUUUGAAUAUGGGGAGACAAUGUGAAUCUUUUUUAGCUCGAUUUACACCAUGAACCAAAAGAUUUAUCUUUCAGUAUUGAAAUUAAUUUAUUAUUGUCUAUUUGUGAGAUAUUGAUAGUUUGCCUCCUUUAUCUACCUUAAAUUAAAUAUGAUAUUCUAAUAUAACCACACCAUGAUAAGGGCCUGUGUCCACAUAGCGCUUUUUCUGGCAGAGCCGCCACCCAGCAUUUUAUCAGACAAACGUUCUUAGCGUUGUUCUAUGACGUAUCACCGCCGUUGGACUAGCAUCGUCCAUUUGUAUUUUAUAAUCUGAAAGUGCUAAUACAUAUUUGUUUCAUAUUGUUUUUUCACCUAAGAGUCAUACAGUGAGGACCUAUUUUAGUAGGUGGACCUGCGAGUAAGUAUAGCAAAGGCUCCCUCUGCUAAAAGCAAUUGGAUUUCCCCAUUUCAUAUCAGUAUAUUGCAGGAAGUAAAUAUUGUGACUGACACAUUUAUAAUACUUAACAACGUUCACCAGGAUCAUUUUUCUAUAUAUUAACUCGACAUGGUGAUUUUUGAAGAGUAAAAACAGUCGUCAGAAGUAAAGUGCUAGCAUUAGGCUAUAAUCAAACUACAUCCUGGUCGCAUGGCAUCACCACCGCUGAGUAUAAGGCUGAUCAUUUUUGGCUAAAUGACAUUUAGAAGUUCUGUUAAGUCACUUGUUAGCAACCGUCGUUUUUAGACAUCUAACCACAAACACGUUCACAGAAAAAAAUGGAACAUUUUUCACAGAAACAUGCUAAGUCUUUCACGGUGAAAAGUCGUAACACUUUCAACUUGAAGCGCUCGUAGCAGCCUCACAAACAAUCAGGAAAAACUCCAACGUUUCUUUAUGGCGGUUGCAUGCAACGGCAUACUCUCACUACCUUAAUAUACACAUUUGAAAAAGAUGAUGGCGGUCAGAAAAGUACGCUCUGUGGACACAGGCCCUAAGACAGCAUGUGUAGUAAAGAUGAAGUUGCGUAAGGUACCGAGCAUUGAUCCGUCUUUCUGUGUGAUUUGAAUAAAAGCAACUGUAGCAGGUGAUACAUGAGAUCUGUCUGAGUAGAUUGAGGUUUAACUGUAUAAUGAUUACCAGAAAGAAAGUACCUCACAGGACAAACUCACCUACAGAUCACCAUCCCCGAAGCUGGAACAAAUUAAGCAUCUUGCUCAGAGACACAGGGGCUUGAACCUGAAUCUUCCAUGUGUAGCACAGUUUUCUAACUACCAGGCCACCCUGUAGAUCUUCACCAUCAUCUUCACACAAUGAGCUCACUUUGUAAGCUGCCCUUCAAAAAGCAGAUAGGAAUGCCCAGUUCUUGUUGUUUUCUCUUCUUCUAAUUCAAGCAUUUUCUAUCCUUAUUGUGUAUGUG